rnacentral:rRNA from 1 species
UACAGAGGUCUCAAGCGUUGUUCGGAUUCAUUGGGCGUAAAGGGUGCGUAGGCGGCGCGGUAAGUCGGGUGUGAAAUCUCGGAGCUUAACUCCGAAACUGCAUUCGAUACUGCCGUGCUUGAGGACUGGAGAGGAGACUGGAAUUUACGGUGUAGCGGUGAAAUGCGUAGAUAUCAGGAAGAACACCUAUGGCGAAGGCAGCUCUCUGGACAGUUCCUGACGCUGAGGCACGAAGGUCAGGGGAGCAAACGGG